GGUUGUAGUUUAGUGGUAGAGCACUUGCCUAGCAUGUGUGAGGCACUGGGUUCAAUUUUCAGCACCA
rnacentral:tRNA from 1 species